AACUUUUGACAAUGGGUCACUUGGUUCUGGCAUCGAUGAAGCACGCAGCGAAAUGCGAUAAGUAAUGCGAAUUGCAGAAUUCCAGUGAGUCAUCGAAUCUUUGAACGCACAUUGCGCCCUUUGGUAUUCCGAAGGGCAUGCCUGUUCGAGCGUCAUUAUCACCCCUCAAGCCCUGUGCUUGGUGUUGGACGGCUGGUCGAGCGAUCGACCCCUCCUAAAGACAAUGACGGCCGCCUGUGGUUCCCCCGGUACACUGAGCUUUUAACCGAGCACGUAUCGGACAAGGGCACCCGAGACCCGGUCCUCGCCUUUAACUAGGAAACUUUCUAAGGUUGACCUCGGAUCAGGGAGGAAUCCGCGCUGAACUUAAGCAUAUCAAUAAGCGGAGGCU
rnacentral:misc_RNA from 1 species